UACGGAGGGUGCGAGCGUUGUCCGGAAUCACUGGGCGUAAAGGGCGCGUAGGCGGCCUGGUAAGUAGGGGGUGAAAUCCUGCGGCUUAACCGCAGGGCUGCCUUCUAAACUGUCAGGCUCGAGCACGGUAGAGGCAGAUGGAAUUCCCGGUGUAGCGGUGGAAUGCGUAGAGAUCGGGAAGAACAUCAGUGGCGAAGGCGGUCUGCUGGGCCGUUGCUGACGCUGAGGCGCGACAGCGUGGGAAGCAAACAGG
rnacentral:rRNA from 1 species